CUGUCGAUUGCGUCUCAACUGAACGCUGAAUUACGACGUUGUCAACAUAAGAUUCUGAUUCCUGAUUUGACUCGCGUUGUUGACGGCGUCUAUAGUUUUCGUUACGACGAUCUUCUUGCUGUUUAAGACGCUUAAAAAUAUCAUCUUCCUGGUUACCUACAGCACUCAGAAUGACUUCAGCACGAGCUAAAUUAACAGAACCAUCCAAAGUAAGAUAACCACCCAUGUGCGGAAGACUAGCUCGCCAUAUUUCAGUCAACCGCUCUACGGCACCAUCACGAAUAUCUAAACUAGGCAAAUGAGGAAGAAAAUCAUUACCCACAAAAAAGAUAAAGAAGACCCAGUCGUCAAUCGCACGUUCUAAGUCAAAUGGAAAAGGUAAAUUGGGGACAUAAAGUUCCACUUCUAGAUACUCCCUCAAAAUGCUA